rnacentral:rRNA from 1 species
UUGACGGGGCCCGCACAAGCGGUGGAGCAUGUGGUUUAAUUCGACGCAACGCGAAGAACCUUACCAGGGCUUGACAUCCCCUGACCGCGUAUGAAAGUACGUUUUCACCCUCGGGUGACAGGGAGACAGGUGGUGCAUGGUUGUCGUCAGCUCGUGUCGUGAGAUGUUGGGUUAAGUCCCGCAACGAGCGCAACCCCUACGUUUAGUUGCUAACGCGUGAAGGCGAGCACUCUAGACGAACUGCCGUUGACAAAACGGAGGAAGUGGGAUGACGUCAAAUCAUCAUGCCCCUUAUGUUCUGGGCUACACACGUGCUACAAUGGCCGGUACAGACGGACGCAAAGCCGCGAGGUGGAGCAAAUCCUAAAAAGCCGGUCUCAGUUCGGAUUGCAGGCUGCAAUUCGCCUGCAUGAAGUCGGAAUCGCUAGUAAUCGCAGGUCAGCAUACUGCGGUGAAUACGUUCCCGGGCCUU